rnacentral:misc_RNA from 1 species
UCCUGGUUUCCCAGGCAGUCCCGUUAGAGUGCCUUGCGUAAAGCAGUUGCAACUAACGGCAAGGGUUGCGCUCGUUAGAGGACUUAACCCAACAUCUCACGACACGAGCUGACGACAGCCAUGCAGCACCUGUGUACCCGUCCAGACCGAAGCCUGGAAGAUCGUGUUUCCACGACGGUCAAGUACAUGUCAAGCCUAGGUAAGGUUCCUCGCGUAGUGUCGAAUUAAACCACAUGUUCCACCGCUUGUGCGGGCCCCCGUCAAUUUCUUUGAGUUUUAAUCUUGCGACCGUACUCCCCAGGCGGAUCACUUAACGCGUUAGCUACGACACCAAUUCUGUUAAACAGAACUAACGUCUAGUGAUCAUCGUUUACGGCGUGGACUAC